rnacentral:rRNA from 1 species
GGGAAACCGGAGACUAAUACCGGAUAAUAUUUUGAACCGCAUGGUUCAAAAGUAAAAGACGGUCUUGCUGUCACUUAUAGAUGGAUCCGCGCUGCAUUAGCUAGUUGGUAAGGUAACGGCUUACCAAGGCAACGAUGCAUAGCCGACCUGAGAGGGUGGUCGGCCACACUGGAACUGAGACACGGUCCAG